GAGCAACCUGCCCUGGACUCUGGGAUAAGCGCUGGAAACGGUGUCUAAUACUGGAUAUGAGCUCUCAUCGCAUGGUGGGGGUUGGAAAGAUUUUUUGGUCUGGGAUGGGCUCGCGGCCUAUCAGCUUGUUGGUGAGGUAAUGGCUUACCAAGGCGUCGACGGGUAGCCGGCCUGAGAGGGUGACCGGCCACACUGGGACUGAGACACGGCCCAGACUCCUACGGGAGGCAGCAGUGGGGAAUAUUGCACAAUGGGCGGAAGCCUGAUGCAGCAACGCCGCGUGAGGGAUGACGGCCUUCGGGUUGUAAACCUCUUUUAGCAGGGAAGAAGCGUGAGUGACGGUACCUGCAGAAAAAGCGCCGGCUAACUACGUGCCAGCAGCCGCGGUAAUACGUAGGGCGCAAGCGUUAUCCGGAAUUAUUGGGCGUAAAGAGCUCGUAGGCGGUUUGUCGCGUCUGCUGUGAAAUCCCGAGGCUCAACCUCGGGUCUGCAGUGGGUACGGGCAGACUAGAGUGCGGUAGGGGAGAUUGGAAUUCCUGGUGUAGCGGUGGAAUGCGCAGAUAUCAGGAGGAACACCGAUGGCGAAGGCAGAUCUCUGGGCCGUAACUGACGCUGAGGAGCGAAAGGGUGGGGAGCAAACAGGCUUAGAUACCCUGGUAGUCCACCCCGUAAACGUUGGGAACUAGUUGUGGGGACCAUUCCACGGUUUCCGUGACGCAGCUAACGCAUUAAGUUCCCCGCCUGGGGAGUACGGCCGCAAGGCUAAAACUCAAAGGAAUUGACGGGGACCCGCACAAGCGGCGGAGCAUGCGGAUUAAUUCGAUGCAACGCGAAGAACCUUACCAAGGCUUGACAUACACCAGAACACCGUAGAAAUACGGGACUCUUUGGACACUGGUGAACAGGUGGUGCAUGGUUGUCGUCAGCUCGUGUCGUGAGAUGUUGGGUUAAGUCCCGCAACGAGCGCAACCCUCGUUCUAUGUUGCCAGCACGUUAUGGUGGGAACUCAUGGGAUACUGCCGGGGUCAACUCGGAGGAAGGUGGGGAUGACGUCAAAUCAUCAUGCCCCUUAUGUCUUGGGCUUCACGCAUGCUACAAUGGCCGGUACAAAGGGCUGCAAUACCGUGAGGUGGAGCGAAUCCCAAAAAGCCGGUCCCAGUUCGGAUUGAGGUCUGCAACUCGACCUCAUGAAGUCGGAGUCGCUAGUAAUCGCAGAUCAGCAACGCUGCGGUGAAUACGUUCCCGGGUCUUGUACACACC
rnacentral:rRNA from 1 species